GUGCUGACUUCUGCAGUACACAGACUAAAGCUGGAGCAGCAUGGAGAUCAGCAUGGCCCUUGUGCAAGAAUGAGACGGAGAUUCAUGACGAAGUCCGUAUUUUU